rnacentral:tRNA from 1 species
GUGGUGGCUCAGCGGCAGAGCGCUUGCCUAGCAUGUGCAAGGUACUGAGUUUGAUCCUCAGCAACACA